UACGUAGGUGGCAAGCGUUGUCCGGAAUUAUUGGGCGUAAAGCGCGCGCAGGCGGCCUCUUAAGUCUGAUGUGAAAGCCCCCCGGCUCAACCGGGGGAGGGCCAUUGGAAACUGGGAGGCUUGAGUAUAGGAGAGAAGAGUGGAAUUCCACGUGUAGCGGUGAAAUGCGUAGAGAUGUGGAGGAACACCAGUGGCGAAGGCGACUCUUUGGCCUAUAACUGACGCUGAGGCGCGAAAGGCGUGGGGAGCAAACAGG
rnacentral:rRNA from 1 species